ACGAUGAAGCCCUUCGGGGUGGAUUAGUGGCGAAUUGGUCAGUAACACGUGGGCAAUCUGCCCUGCACUCUGGGACAAGCCCUGGAAACGGGGUCUAAUACCGGAUACGACCCGGGGAGGCAUCUCCUUGGGUGGAAAGCUCCGGCGGUGCAGGAUGAGCCCGCGGCCUAUCAGCUUGUUGGUGAGGUAACGGCUCACCAAGGCGACGACGGGUAGCCGGCCUGAGAGGGCGACCGGCCACACUGGGACUGAGACACGGCCCAGACUCCUACGGGAGGCAGCAGUGGG
rnacentral:misc_RNA from 1 species